GGAGUCAUUUUUGGGCACUCUUGCUGAAGACUGUCGAAAUGGUGACACAGUGAGAAGGAAAUGUUACAUACCCAAACCCCAGAACAAGUGGUAUUUCCAUGAAUCUACUGGAGAAUACAAUGAAGAACCUGAAAUUCAUGGUAAUGUGGGAAAAAAACACAAGUUUUGUGCUUUGGAAUCAGACUCACCUGGGGCUGAUUCCCUGUUCUUCUGUUGGUUUUGAAGUUGGCCAAGAGAUUUAACCUUCUCUAGCCUCGUUCAUCUCAUCUCUUCACUUGAGUGUGUGUGUUUGAAAAUCAAAGAUGAUCCUAUGAAGUGUUUAAAAAAGUGUCCAACACAAAGUGGAUCUUCAGAGAGGAUAAGCGAGGUAAGGUUUCAGAUUAAAGAAGUAGAAAUGAAGAAUAAGUAAUUAACAGAUGACCAGAUCUCUUCCUUAGCUUCCCCUUCAGUAAUCUGGCAAACAAACUGUGUGAUAAAACUGGUGAACAAGAUAGCACCUAAAGAAAUGUCACAAGAAGACGACAAGCCUGCAUGCAGUGGGAGACAGGGACGAGUCUGAUCCCCUAACUCAAUGAUUAAUUGAAAUUACUUUCCUUUUACCUUUAAAAACUUUCAUGGUCGAGCAGAAUCUUCGGAGUUGAAUUUUGGGGACACCAAGUCCACCAUCUCUCCAGAUUGCUGGCAUUCUGAUUAAAAGAAACUUUCCUUUCUACCAACACUUGCCUCCCUCUUGGGUAUUGAUUUUCAAGUGGUGAGCAGCUGGACCUGAGUUCGGUAACACAAGAGAAAGACAACCCAGGAAUCAUUACUUCCAUUUUACAGAUGUAGGCACAGGCUGCUGAGUCUCUAUUAAAACAUUUUUGCCACCUGGUGCCAUGUGAUCUGGGGAAACACAUUUAAGCCUACAGAACCUUAGUUCUCUUAUCUUCUACUAUGGAAAUCAAAUAAUCUCUUAGAAUACUUCUAGGUUGAAGAUCCUAUUAUCUAUUUUAAUAGCUGUAAUUAACUGCUUCUUAAACAGUCUCCCAUGAUCCUGGCCUCCUGAUAUUCACAUUCUUCUAUAAUCUGCUUCCCUUGUGUGCGAGCUGGACUUAGUGACUCACUUCUAGCAAAUAGAAUACACCAAAGGCAAUAAGAUGCUGUUUCCGAGAUUAGGUUAUAACUACUGUGACUUCCCUCUUGCUUGUUCUCUCUCUUUGGCUCUUCUCAUGUACUUGUUAUAAUGAAGCAAGUUGCAGAGACCCACAUGGUGAAGACCUGGGGACAGCGUUUGGUCAAUAGCCAGUGAGAAACUGAGGCCUUCAGUGUGACAACCCGAAGAGAACUGAAUUCUGCCAAUGGUACUGUGAGUGAACAUGGAAGCAGAUUCUCCCCUGGGGUAACCUUCAGAUGACUGAGAUCCUGACUAACAACUUGCAGCCUUCUGAGAGACCCUGACCCAAACCCUUAGCUUCCAACUAAGCCACUCCUGAAUUUCUGACCCACACAGGAACUGUGAGAUGAUAAAUGUUGUUUUAAGUCUCUAAGUGUUGAAAUAAUUUGUUACACAGCAAUAGAUGAUUAAAGUCAAAUAUCAAUGCCAGAACUGAUCACAGGAUUUCUUUUCCCUGAAUUUUUGUUUCAGCAUUUUCUAACAUAUUCAUAACA